rnacentral:rRNA from 1 species
CCUACGGGUGGCAGCAGUGGGGAAUAUUGCACAAUGGGGGAAACCCUGAUGCAGCGACGCCGCGUGAGUGAAGAAGUAAUUCGUUAUGUAAAGCUCUAUCAGCAGGGAAGAAAAUGACGGUGCCUGAGUAAGAAGCCCCGGCUAACUACGUGCCAGCAGCCGCGGUAAUACGUAGGGGGCAAGCGUUAUCCGGAUGUACGGGGUGUAAGGGGAGCGUAGACGGCUGUGCAGGUCUGAAGUGAAAGCCCGGGGCUGAACCGCGGAACUGCUUGGGAAACUGGAUAGCUUGAGUACUGGAGAGGCAGGCGGAAGUCCUAGUGUAGCGGUGGAAUGCGUAGAUAUUAGGAGGAACACCAGUGGCGAAGGCGGCCUGCUGGACAGAAACUGACGUUGAGGCUCGAAAGCGUGGGGAGCAAACAGGAUUAGAUACCCCUGUAGUC